UACGUAGGUGGCAAGCGUUAUCCGGAAUUAUUGGGCGUAAAGCGCGCGCAGGCGGCCUUUUAAGUCUGAUGUGAAAGCCCACGGCUCAACCGUGGAGGGUCAUUGGAAACUGGGGAACUUGAGUGCAGAAGAGAAAAGCGGAAUUCCACGUGUGGCGGUGAAAUGCGUAGAGAUGUGGAGGAACACCAGUGGCGAAGGCGGCUUUUUGGUCUGUAACUGACGCUGAGGCGCGAAAGCGUGGGGAGCAAACAGG
rnacentral:rRNA from 1 species